UGCGUAGGCGGUCUGGUAAGUCAGCGGUGAAAUUUAGGGGCUCAACCUCUACCGUGCCGUUGAUACUGUUAGGCUGGAAUGCGGAUGCCGUGGGAGGAAUGUGUGGUGUAGCGGUGAAAUGCAUAGAUAUCACACAGAACACCGAUUGCGAAGGCAUCUCACGAAUCCGCUAUUGACGCUGAUGCACGAAAGCGUGGGGAUCAAACA
rnacentral:rRNA from 1 species